rnacentral:tRNA from 1 species
AAUGAGGGUAUCCUCUCUUACUAGGCUUUAUAGUCAAAUUAUGAUGUUAGGAGUAUCCUCUCUUACUA